rnacentral:rRNA from 1 species
AGGACGAACGCUGGCGGCGUGCCUAACACAUGCAAGUCGAACGCGCUCCAUUCGGUAGCAAUACUGAUGAAGAGCGAGUGGCGAACGGGUGAGUAGCACGUGAGCAACCUGCCCCGAAGACCGGGACAACACCGGGAAACCGGUGCUAAUACCGGAUAUCCCUAUCGGACCGCAUGAUCUGAUAAGGAAAUGGAUUCCGCUUCGGGAGGGGCUCGCGGCCUAUCAGCUAGUUGGUGAGGUAACGGCCCACCAAGGCAUCGACGGGUAGCUGGUCUGAGAGGACGAUCAGCCACACUGGGACUGAGACACGGCCCAGACUCCUACGGGAGGCAGCAGUGGGGAAUCUUGCGCAAUGCGCGAAAGCGUGACGCAGCGACGCCGCGUGGGGAUGAAGGCCUUCGGGUUGUAACCCUUUCAGCAGGGACGAAGCGAAAGUGACGGUACUGCAGAAGAGCGCGCUACUACGUGCCAGCAGCCG